rnacentral:lncRNA from 1 species
AGUCACCAGAAUGUCCUGACAGGUCAGCAGAAUGUCCUGACAAGUCACCAGAAUGUCCUGACAAGUCACCAGAAUGUCCUGACAUGUCCUGACAAGUCACCAGAAUGUCCUGACAGGUCAGCAGAAUGUCCUGACAAGUCACCAUAAUGUCCUGACAAGUCAGCAGAAUGUCCUGACAUGUCCUGACAAGUCAGCAGAAUGUCCUGACAUGUCCUGACAAGUCACCAGAAUGUCCUGACAAGUCACCAGAAUGUCCUAACAUGUCCUGACAAGUCACCAGAAUGUCCUGACAGAUUAGCAGAAUGUCCUGACUAGUCACCAGAAUGUCCUGACAAGUCACCACAAUGUCCUGACAUGUCCUGACAAGUCACCAGAAUGUCCUGACAAGUCACCAGAAUGUCUUGAUAGGUCAGGAGAAAGUCCUGACAAGUCAGCAGAAUGUCCUGACAAGUUAGCAAAAGGUCCUGACUAGUCACCAGAAUGUCCUGACAAGUCAAUAGAAUGUCCUUACAAUUCACCGGAUUGUCUUUACAAGUCACCAAAAUGUCCUGACAGGUUAGCAGAAUGUCCUGACAAGUCAUCAGAAUGUCCUAACAAGUCAGCAGAAUGUCCUGAAAAGUCAGCAGAAUGUCCUGACAAGUCACCAGAAUGUCCUGUCAAGUCAUAAGAAUGUCCUGACAAGUCAUCAGAAUGUCCUGACAAGUCAUAAGAAUGUCCUGACAGGUCAGCAGAAUGUCCUGACAAGUCAGCAGAAUGUCUUGACAAUUCAGCAGAAUGUCCUGACAAUUCAGCAGAAUGUCCUGACAUGUCAGCAGAAUGUCCUGACAACAUUGGAACAAGAACAUUUUUUUUAAGUCAGGACUGAAUGUGUUAAAAUUCUAGUUUAGGCUUAAAGGUUAGGUUUGGGGUUAAGGUUAGAGUUAGGUUUAGGGUUAGGUUUAAGAUUAUGGGUUUGGGGUUAAGGUCAAGGUUAAGAGUUAGGGUUAGGGUUAGGUUAAGAGUUAAGGUUCAAGGUUAGGGGUUGAGGAAAAUUGGAUUUUAAGUGGGGAUACAUUUGUACUCCCCAAAAAGACCUGAAAGUUCAUGACAACAAAGCUGUGUGUGCUCCUUCCAUCUGAGUAGGGAGUGGGUUAGGGUGAGUAGGAAGUGGGUUAGGGUG